rnacentral:rRNA from 1 species
UGAACGCUAGCUACAGGCUUAACACAUGCAAGUCGAGGGGCAUCAGGGCGAUAGCUGCAUUGCCGCUGGCGACCGGCGCACGGGUGAGUAACGCGUAUCCAACCUCCCCCUUGGUAGAGGAUAGCCCGGCGAAAGUCGGAUUAAUACUCUAUGUUCUUCAAUGCGGACAUCUAACUUGAAGCAAAGAUUCAUCGCUAAGGGAUGGGGAUGCGUCUGAUUAGCUUGUCGGCGGGGUAACGGCCCACCGAGGCGACGAUCAGUAGGGGUUCUGAGAGGAAGGUCCCCCACAUUGGUACUGAGACACGGACCAAACUCCUACGGGAGGCAGCAGUGGGGAAUAUUGGUCAAUGGGCGCGAGCCUGAACCAGCCAAGUAGCGUGCAAGGAUGACUGCCCUAUGGGUUGUAAACUGCUUUUAUGCGGGAAUAAAGUCAGGUACGCGUACCUGUUUGUAUGUACCGCAUGAAUAAGGACCGGCUAAUUCCGUGCCAGCCGCUGC